AUAGCAUGCUUAGUACGGCGAGUGAAGCGGCAAAAGCUCAAAUUUGAAAUCUGGCACUCUUCGGCGUCCGAGUUGUAAUUUGAAGAAGGUAACUUUGGAGUUGGCUCUUGUCUAUGUUCCUUGGAACAGGACGUCACAGAGGGUGAGAAUCCCGUGCGAUGAGAUGCCCAAUUCUUUGUAAAGUGCUUUCGAAGAGUCGAGUUGGUUUGGGAAUAGA
rnacentral:rRNA from 1 species